CCUACGGGUGGCAGCAGUGGGGAAUUGUUCGCAAUGGGCGCAAGCCUGACGACGCAACGCCGCGUGGAGGAUGAAGAUCUUCGGGUCGUAAACUCCUUUCGAUCGAGACGAACGGCUUCCGGAUAAACAAUUCGGGAGAGUGACGGUACCGAGAGAAGAAGCCCCGGCUAACUCCGUGCCAGCAGCCGCGGUAAUACGGGGGGGGCAAGCGUUGUUCGGAAUUACUGGGCGUAAAGGGCUCGUAGGUGGCCAACUAAGUCAUACGUGAAAUCCCUCGGCUUAACCGGGGAACUGCGUCUGAUACUGGAUGGCUUGAGUUUGGGAGAGGGAUGCGGAAUUCCAGGUGUAGCGGUGAAAUGCGUAGAUAUCUGGAGGAACACCGGUGGCGAAGGCGGCAUCCUGGACCAACACUGACACUGAGGAGCGAAAGCCAGGGGAGC
rnacentral:rRNA from 1 species